rnacentral:rRNA from 1 species
UAAGCAUGUAGGCUGAUUGUCCAGGCAAAUCCGGAUAAUCAAGGCUGAGGUGUGAUGACGAGGCACUACGGUGCUGAAGUAACAAAUGCCCUGCUUCCAGGAAAAGCCUCUAAGCAUCAGGUAACAUUAAAUCGUACCCCAAACCGACACAGGUGGUCAGGUAGAGAAUACCAAGGCGCUUGAGAGAACUCGGGUGAAGGAACUAGGCAAAAUGGUGCCGUAACUUCGGGAGAAGGCACGCUGGUGUGUAGGUGA